rfam:Flagellimonas sp. DK169 scf7180000000004, whole genome shotgun sequence.
UUAGGUGGCCAUGGCGACGGGGUCCACCCCUUUCCAUUCCGAACAGGGAAGUUAAGCCCGUUUGCGCCGAUGGUACUGCUAUACCAAGUGGGAGAGUAGGUCGCCGCCUUCC